rnacentral:rRNA from 1 species
AUUGAACGCUGGCGGCAGGCCUAACACAUGCAAGUCGAACGAGUGGCGGACGGGUGAGUAAUGUCUGGGAAACUGCACGAUGGAGGGGGAUAACUACUGGAAACGGUAGCUAAUACCGCAUACCAUCGGAUGUGCCCAGAUGGGAUUAGCUAGUGGGUGGGGUAACGGCUCACCUAGGCGACGAUCCCUAGCUGGUCUGAGAGGAUGACCAGCCACACUGGAACUGAGACACGGUCCAGACUCCUACGGGAGGCAGCAGUGGGGAAUAUUGCACAAUGGGCGCAAGCCUGAUGCAGCCACGCCGCGUGUAUGAAGAAGGCCUUCGGGUUGUAAAGUACUUUUAUCGGGGAGGCGUUACCCGCAGAAGAAGCACCGGCUAACUCCGUGCCAGCAGCCGCGGUAAUAC